rnacentral:tRNA from 1 species
GGGGUUGUGGCUCAGUGGUAGAGCACUUGCCUAGCACGUGUGAGGCCCUGGGUUCAAUCCUCAGCACCA